rnacentral:misc_RNA from 1 species
GAUGAAGAACGUAGCGAAAUGCGAUAAGUAGUGUGAAUUGCAGAAUUCAGUGAAUCAUCGAAUCUUUGAACGCACAUUGCGCCCCUUGGUAUUCCAUGGGGCAUGCCUGUUCGAGCGUCAUUUGUACCCUCAAGCUUUGCUUGGUGUUGGGUGUUUGUCCCGAGGGACUCGCCUUAAAGUAAUUGGCAGCCAGUGUUUGGUUUUGAAGCGCAGCACAAGUCGCGAUUCAAGGCUACACGCCCGCUUCCACAAGCCUUUUUUCACUUUUGACCUCGGAUCAGGUAGGGAUACCCGCUGAACUUAAGCAUAUCAAUAAGCGGAGGA